AACGAACGCUGGCGGCAUGCCUAACACAUGCAAGUCGAACGCGUGUAGCAAUACACGAGUGGCGGACGGGUGAGUAACGCGUGGGAACCUGCCCAAUGGUAGGGAAUAACUGCGGGAAACUGCAGCUAAUACCCUAUGCUCCCUACGGGGAAGAUUAUCGCCAUUGGAGGGGCCCGGCGUCGGAUUAGCUAGUUGGCGGGGUAACGGGCCCACCAAGGCUACGAUCCGUAGCUGGUCUGAGAGGAUGAUCAGCCACACUGGGACUGAGAUACGGCCCA
rnacentral:rRNA from 1 species